UACGUAGGUGGCAAACGUUAUCCGGAGUUACUGGGCGUAAAGGGCGUGUAGGCGGUUUGUUAAGUCUGGCGUGAAAGCUCUCGGCUAAACCGGGAGAGGUCGUUGGAUACUGGCAAACUAGAGGAUGGUAGAGGCGUGUGGAAUUCCGGGUGUAGUGGUGAAAUGCGUAGAGAUCCGGAGGAACACCAGUGGCGAAGGCGACACGCUGGGCCAUACCUGACGCUAAAGCGCGACAGCAUGGGGAGCAAACGGG
rnacentral:rRNA from 1 species